ACUCACUUAUUCAUUCCAUCAAAUGAUUCAAAUGCACUCAAUCUCUUCUCCAAUUUUCAUGCCAUUUUCCCAGUUACUUUCCUUACCUAACCCUGCUACUCUUUUUUCAAUAUAUAAAUACUAAAAUAAUAAUAACAUCGUGCAUUCUUCCAACUACACCCCAGAACCAGGGCAAAGCUCAGAGCUUUAACGCGGUGUGGUUGGAUUCAAACGUACCCAGUUUGAAUUUUUAUUCUAGAACAUAAUAUUUGAGGUAAAUCCCCUCUUUGUGGUUGAUUGGGUGAAACAUCGUAUUGGUGACAAUCCAAGUUUCAUUUUUUUAGUUAUGUUUAUGAUUUUGUUACAAUAUCUGAAGAUUAUAUCUCAAAAUACGAAAUGGGUCGUUGAGAGAUAUAUAUUUUCCACUUUUUAUUUGAUCACAUUGUUCAUCCUCUGUAAAUAACAUAAAGUUUAUCUUUUGUUGUUGGGUUUAUCACUGUGAGAUGCAUGUGUUAUGUUUUGUAAGGAGUUUCUUUUCAGGUUUGGAAAUAUUGAGUGGGAGGAUUUGAUAUCGGGGUGAUGGAUCAGGCAAGAAGCAAAGACAGUGGUGAGAUUUUGGAUCAUGUUGAUGAAAGGAAGGAUGAGGAUUUAAACCAGUUGAAUGCAAUUGAUGCAGGAGCUGGACAUAGCUUGGGUGAAAGAGUUAGUGUAAGUGGGGAAGGUGGGACUUCAGAAGUCAUGUGUGAUGAUCUUGAAUUGAAUAAGGAGUUAAAGGAGGGGCCUCUAGAAGAUAAGGGUCAGGACAUGGGUGACCCACAAGAAAUUAAUGAUACAUUGCAUGGGGUUGAUCAAGGAACUAGUUAUACUUCAAGAAAUUUGGUUAGUGGUGAAGUGGUUGAGACCUGUGUUGUUAUAGAUUCUUCUCCUCAGAUUGUGUAUGUCAGUGGAGAUAAUAGGAAAUUGGAAACAAAACCUAAUGAAUUGGGGUUGGGCAAGGUGUCUGUGAAAACACCAAAAGAGGUGUCUGAGACGGAGAAAAAUUCAUGCGUCAUUGAUGUAAACUGUGGUGACUGCAAUGGGUUUAGUGAGAAUUUGGAAGGUGAAAUGAUCUGUAGGAUUUGCCAUCUGGCCUCUGGGCAACCAUUAGAAGCAGUAGCUGUUGGCACUGCUAAUAAUGCUACGACUAAUACAGAUUUGAUUCAGCUUGGUUGUGCAUGUAAAGAUGAGCUAGGCAUUGCCCAUAGUCAUUGUGCUGAGGCAUGGUUCAAGCUUAGAGGAAACAGAGUGGGCAAAUGCAUCCAGACACCCAGUUGGUUUUCCUUCCGAGAUAUUAGCCAAUGGCUUGGCUUCUAAUUUUUGUGAGUUGAGGUUAAUUGACCUCCAAACGAUGGCAUCAUGUCUAGUUUGGUGUUUAAUAUAUGAUUGCGCAUAUUUUUCAUGCUGAUGCUUUGCCCAUGUUUUGGUCAAAAAAUGCUCUUCUAGUCUCCAUGAAGUUUCUCUGAAUCUUCUGUUUCUCUUUUCAGCUGAUGUUUGGGAAAUGAACUGGGAAAAGUUGUGCGAAAUAUGUGGUGAGACUGCAAAAAAUGUUUCAGAUGUUACUGAUAAUGAAUUUAUUGAAGAGUGGAAUGAAAGUAGAUUUAUGGACAGUGAUAAUACCUCAUCGGGCAGGUUUGGCGGAUGUUGGCGUGGACAACCAUUUUGUAACUUCUUAAUGGCAUGCCUGGUAAUAGCUUUUGUUCUACCAUGGUUCUUCCGUGUAAAUAUGUUCUAGUGGGGAAGUCAAACACUAUUCUUCCCUUCCAAAUCUUCAUCCCUGCCUACGUAAUGGGUGCAUGCAUUAUUGGUUCUUGGCAAAUUCUUUCUCUGAAGGGGUGGUAAUGCUUAACCAUGUCCAAGUUCACAUUUUUCAGGGUACUACAUACCCUACCCUGAAGCCUUCAAGUUUCAUUGUACAGAAGUUGCCAACUUGGCAAGUGAUGGCCAUAUUGUUUCCUUAUUGCAUUCAUUUGAUUGGAGUGCGUGUGGUGUUCUGAGAUAUAUAUUGAUACAGCGGGAUUACUUUUUCUAAGUGGAAAAAACAAUAUUUUAC